CGGGCUGUAGCGUAGCUUGGUAGCGCGCCUGCCUCGGGUGCAGGAGGUCGUGGGUUCAAAUCCCACCAGCCCGA
rnacentral:tRNA from 1 species